GCCUUUGUGGUGUAGUUGUCAUCACACUGGGCGCGUAUUCCAGAGGUCCGUGGUUCGAGUCCUGGUGAAGGCG
rnacentral:tRNA from 1 species